GAGGUGGGAGCGGUUGGCCUGCUGGCCUCGCUGCUUGGCGAUUGGCUGCCAGAGACCCGGCUCUGCCAUUUCAGGGCUUUCGGUGUAAUCUCAGGGCCUGCCUGCAACUUCUCGUGCUGGCCCGCACUGGAGCCACAUCAUUGCGGGGCGUAGUGGUACACACCGGUCGUCCCAGAACUCGGGAUACUUGGGUUUGAACUCCUUCCUUUGGACUGAAAUGGCUGCAACCCAACUUCCAGUGGGAAAACCUGUAAAGGCAUCCCGCAGCCUGCCUCCCAUCUGUAGGAAUGGUACCUGGUCCGGUCUGAGGCUGCACUGCUGCUGCUGCUGCUGCUGGACUCAGAGUCUGAGCUGCUUCGGGGAAGGUUGCAGUCAUUACGGUACACCAAGAAACUCUUCUUCACUGGCUGGUUCCCACUGCUGAAGCCAUUGGCUGGAGAUCUUCAGUAAAUACCAGACCUAUUUACUUCUAAAUCCCCAGUUCCUAGCAUGCAUUGGACUCCCAAGCCUGGGCAAAUGCCAUGAAACCUGUGAAUAGCUGAAUGAGAAGACCACCAGAUUAGGAGUUGAGGAAGAUCAGAUUACGCAUUAAACGUUGCUUAUUGU
ensembl:antisense Gm15492 predicted gene 15492